rnacentral:rRNA from 1 species
GAUGAACGCUGGCGGCGUGCCUAAUACAUGCAAGUCGAGCGAACGGACGAGAAGCUUGCUUCUCUGAUGUUAGCGGCGGACGGGUGAGUAACACGUGGAUAACCUACCUAUAAGUCUGGGAUAACUUCGGGAAACCGGAGCUAAUACCGGAUAAUAUUUUGAACCGCACGGUUCAAAAGUGAAAGACGGUCUUGCUGUCACUUAUAGAUGGAUCCGCGCUGCAUUAGCUAGUUGGUAAGGUAACGGCUUACCAAGGCAACGAUGCAUAGCCGACCUGAGAGGGUGAUCGGCCACACUGGAACUGAGACACGGUCCAGACUCCUACGGGAGGCAGCAGUAGGGAAUCUUCCGCAAUGGGCGAAAGCCUGACGGAGCAACGCCGCGUGAGUGAUGAAGGUCUUCGGAUCGUAAAACUCUGUUAUUAGGGAAGAACAUAUGUGUAAGUAACUGUGCACAUCUUGACGGUACCUAAUCAGAAAGCCACGGCUAACUACGUG